GGCUAGGGGUCCAAUUGGAGCUACAGCUGCUGGCCUACAACACAGCCACAGCAACAUCAGAUCCAAGCCACGUCUACAACCUACACCACAGCUCAUGGCAACGCCAGAUCCUUAACCCACUGACCUAGGCCAGGGAUAAAACACACAACCUCAUGGUUCCUAGCUGGAUUCAUUUCUGCUGUGCCACAACAGGAACUCCAAACAUUGAACUCUUUAACAAGAAAUCAUUGACCAUAGUGGCUAAUGCAGAGAUGAGCAUAUAAUGCAAGCAGGGCCAGAGUCACUUACAAGUGACAGAAGAGAUCUCCUUUCUCUGCAGCCACUGAUUUUAAGGGUUUUUUAGGUCUGGUGUCCCCAAGAAGAUAUAUCACUGCCCAGGAAUAACAGUCCUACAGAGGAAAACAGAGUCAGCCGAUCCUUCUAGAAUCUCAGGAUCCAGCCAUUUCUGGACACACAGAUGUCCACAGUGUAAGAAACAACCUUCCCCUUUUUGUUCAUGUUAGUUACACUGUGUUCCUGACACCUGCCACAAAAGCAUUCUGACCAGAAAACCAGUUGAGUGUUUCUAAGGGAAGAGGGAAGUUGAGGGUGUCUGCAGUGAGUGUUCACAGCGGGAACUGCAUGGCAGAAAGGGGACAAGGUGACAGUGGAGGGAGGCAGGCUGAAUGAGUGUCUGGAAGGGGUGGGGCGGUGGAAGGGCUGCCCCAACAUAGAGGGAGCUGAUGGGCAGGGGUCGGAGGCAAACUCACUGAACCUGAGAUACUGGAGUUGAUGACUGUUGACAAUUAAGUGUGCAGGUGUGACCAGCCACCAGGUGACCGCAGCUGAGGAUGAGAACUGGAAAAGACCUGAGCCAGCCGAGUCAAAAUUCAGGGUAAAGUGGAGAUUCAGGAGGGUGUGGAUGAGCAGAGUGGUCACAGCAUCUUUAAGUCCUAUAGAGUGCUUACUACACUGCAUGCUCUGUGACUUCCAAUGUGUGUUCUCUGAGGGAAGGUGUUAUGGUACACCCAGCCUUUAGGAAGAAAGGCAUGUGAUACUCAACCAUUCAGGGCUUAGGUGUAACAUAAAUAAACGGAAAACUGGAAAAGAGUCAUGACACAAACCAGCUUCUGCCUGACAUUUAGGGAAGCAACCUCACAACUCUAUGUCAUGAUGUGUUUUUGUGACACAACAAAUGAUGCUUGUUCCUGGAGAUCAUGUGUCACCAUGGAUACUAACUAGAACGUAGCUAAGACACUGGGAGACAUUCGAGUCUAGACAUUUGAGUCACAAUGGUUAGGAGCAAUGCAUGUUUUCCACACUGUCCUAAAAUAUAAGGGCUAUCAGAAGACAUCCAUUCAGACCUCUCAUCACGCUCCAAAGUAUUGUACAAUUUGCUCAGUGAUUUUCUUAGUAAUCACUUGUUUUGUUCUAACAGAAUCAGGGGAAUUUUCAGGAGCACAAAACUAUAGCCAAUAUUCUUCAUAUCAAGGUGCCAUGAGCUUGGGAAUAGGAAAAGAGAAAUAUUUGUCACUGUUUUAUCCACUGGCUUCCCCACUAUCUAAUCACUUAAUAUAAUAGGUCUAAUAAUAUUAGAAAAAAUAAAUUUUAAGAAAUUUGAAAUGGAAACUUGAAGUCUAAAUCUAUACCUCAAAGGGUCUCAUAUCUGUUCCUGAAAUGUACAUGAAUUUGUAAAAACAAACCUGCCUUCUAUUUUCUGGGCUGAGUUGACAACUGUAAUAUAUUUGGUUUCAAUAUUUCAACAAAAAUCUAUAAUCCAUCUGGAGUUUAUUUUGGUUUAUGUCACAAGGAAUGAACCAAUGUUAUCCUUUUUCCAAAUGGUUAGCCAGUUGUUUCAAUACCUUUCCUUGAAUAAUUCAUUUCUUUCCACUAAUUUGGAAUGCCACCUUUAUGAAACACUAAAGUAGUUUAUUUAAUUUGGUUUACUGCUACUCAUUCUAUGCUAUUCUAUUGCCCUCAAGGAAGAUGUCUGGGAAUGAGGAGACAUGGCACGAGGUCCUGAGAGAACAAAGGGGAGGGAGAGGGCUAUGGGAGCAAAGCAUUAUUUCCUGCAGCACCAGAGCUCAGAAAGCCUUGAGAACGCAUUUACACAUGGGCUCAGCAAAGGCUUUGUAGGCAGUUAGACCUUUCAUAGAGGCUUAUUAUACAAUAGAAAAAAGCAGAAUGGAGUCCAGACACACCAGCAGAGGCAUUAAAAAAUGUUGUCAAGUAAGACCAAGCCAGUAUAAGACAAUGGGGUAAAAUUCAGGUGAGCAUGUGAAUGGAAGGAGAUUGGGUCAGGAAAUUGCACAGCAACCAAGGGAAGAGGGAUUUUUAAAAAUGAGUAAGAAUUUGAAUCAUGACUUGGUCUAGUAUUUAUAUUUCUCCACAAGGAACUAAUCUGUUAUAAACAAAAGAAUCAGUAAUAAUUUUCCAAUUCAAACAGAAUUAUUAAAUGUCAAACUCUACUUGAAGUAAGAGAAAGACAUCUUAAAAAGACACAUGGAUUCAACAAAUAACAUUGAUUUGUGGUAUGUCGAAGUGAUUUCAUUGAAGAGACUUAGCAGUGAAUUGGAAAUAAAGGAGAAAAGAUUUUGGAUGGAUGGCUAUUCAUACCACCUUACAGACAUAAAAACAAAACCUAAGUUUGUCAUCCACACAAAAUAAAGAAAUAUCAUCAUUAGCAUCACCAUGGAUGGACCUAAAGAUUAUCAUACUAAGUGAAAUAAGUCAGACAGAGAAAGGCAAAUACCAUAUGACAUAACCAAUUCGUGGAAUCUCAAAUAUGGCACAAAUGAACCUAUCUACAAAACAGGAAUAGACUCACAGACAUAGAGAACAUACUUGUGGUUGCCAAGGGGGUCAGUGGGGUAGGGAAUGAUAAGUUUGAGAUUAGUAGAUGCAAACUAAUAUAUAUAGGAUGGAUAAACAACAAGAUCCUACUGUAUAACACAAGGAACUAUAUCCAGUCUCUUGGCAGAGAACAUGAUGGAAGAUAAGAUGAAAAAAGAAUGUAUAUAUAUGUAUAACUGAGUCAUUUUGCUGUAUAGCAGAAAUUAACACAGCAUUGUAAACCAACUGUACUUCAAUAAAAUUUUUUAAAAACCUAGUUUGGAGGUGAGGUAAGACAAAAUGUUUUAAAAUCCAUUCAUUCAAGUAUUCUGAUGCGGGAGUUCCUGUCACGGCUCAGUGGUAACAAAUCCGAUUCUUAUCCAUGAGGAUACAGGCUCCAUCCCUGGCCUUGCUCAGUGGGUUAAGGAAUCGGCAUUGCUGUGAGCUGUGGUGUAGGUCACAGAUGCAGGCCAGAUCCUGCAUUGCUGUGGCUGUGGCACAGACCAGCAGCUACAGCUCCAAGUGGACCCCUAGCCAGGGAAUUUCCACAUCCUACAGGUGCAGGCCUAAAAAGACAAAAAAAAUUUUAAAAUCCUUAAACUAAAAAGAAAAAAAAAAAAAUGUUACUUAGUCUGGCCCAAUUCACAACAGCAGAAAAACUUUCCAAGAAAUAGAGUCCUACAGGGUUUCCAGACAUCUAUAUCUUUACAACAUCUCAUGGCAACUAACUCACCUUAGAAAAGCUGAAAGACCAAUUUAUAUUAAAAACCUUUCAGGAGUUCCCGUCGUGGCGCAGUGGUUAACGAAUCCGACUAGGAACCAUGAGGUUGCGGGUUCGGUCCCUGCCCUUGCUCAGUGGGUUAACAAUCCGGCGUUGCCUUGAGCUGUGGUGUAGGUUGCAGACGCGGCUUGGAUCCUGCGUUGCUGUGGCUCUGGCAUAGGCCAGUGGCUACAGCUCUGAUUCGACCCCUAACCUGGGAACCUCCAUAUGCCGCGGGGAGCAGCCCAAAGAAAUAGCAAAAAGACAAAAAAAUGAAAAAAUAAAAACCUUUCAGAUCAUUUGAAAUGGCUUCCACACUCUUGGGAAAACAGCAAGUCAAGAACAGACUAGUCCCUCUCAGACUCCCAGGAUGUGCUUUCCUGGCUCAUGGAUGCCUACUUGACUCCAGUCACUACAGGUACAUUAUCAGAUAGCUGGGUCAGAAUCACAAAGGAAUUCAACCAUCACAACCAUUUUCCUUCCUCGAUAUACACUCAGAAGUAAAAGUAGUUCAAUAUCAUAUAUAAUUGGCACAUUUUUUCCAAAUACAACAUGGGGAAAUUAGAUACAAAGUAAUCCAAAUAUGUUUGGGUUUUUAACUUAGAAAAAACAAAGCUUCUCACAGU
rnacentral:lncRNA from 1 species